CCUACGGGAGGCAGCAGUGGGGAAUAUUGGGCAAUGGGCGCAAGCCUGACCCAGCAACGCCGCGUGAAGGAAGAAGGCUUUCGGGUUGUAAACUUCUUUUCUCAGGGACGAAGAAAGUGACGGUACCUGAGGAAUAAGCCACGGCUAACUCCGUGCCAGCAGCCGCGGUAAUACGGAGGAUGCGAGCGUUAUCCGGAUUUAUUGGGUUUAAAGGGUGCGUAGGCGGGAUGCCAAGUCAGCGGUAAAAAUGCGGUGCUCAACGCCGUCGAGCCGUUGAAACUGGCGUUCUUGAGUGGGCGAGAAGUAUGCGGAAUGCGUGGUGUAGCGGUGAAAUGCAUAGAUAUCACGCAGAACUCCGAUUGCGAAGGCAGCAUACCGGCGCCCUACUGACGCUGAGGCACGAAAGCGUGGGUAUCGAACAGGAUUAGAUACCCUUGUAGUC
rnacentral:rRNA from 1 species